UACGAAGGGGGCUAGCGUUGUUCGGAAUCACUGGGCGUAAAGCGCACGUAGGCGGAUUGUUAAGUCGGGGGUGAAAUCCUGAGGCUCAACCUCAGAACUGCCUUCGAUACUGGCAAUCUCGAGUCCGGAAGAGGUUGGUGGAACAGCUAGUGUAGAGGUGAAAUUCGUAGAUAUUAGCUAGAACACCAGUGGCGAAGGCGGCCAACUGGUCCGGUACUGACGCUGAGGUGCGGAAAGCGUGGGGAGCAAACAGG
rnacentral:rRNA from 1 species